UUCAGUAAUCCCACGAAAAUUUUUCAAUUUAACAUUACAAAAUUGCCAAACAAAGUUUCUCACCCAAAAUAAAAAAUUGGCCCUAAGCUGGCCCAAAUUCUAUACUACAACAUUCAAUCAUAAAGGAUCCCAAAGAGGGAUACCCAAAGAUAAGGGCACAACAAAGUAAUUGAAUAAGUCCAAGGAAAUGUCAAAGUGGAGCGAAUUUUCCCUGUGAUUCAUACUUUGAACAAUCCCUUCGUGAUCCAUCUUUUUCCGCAAGUAUAAAAUCCAGAGCUCGAUUAGACUCCGAGUUUAAAGUAGAAGAAGGACUGCAUAAAGAAAUGAAUUUUUAAAUAUUUUAAAAACACAAAAUGAAUUAUUAGAUGAUUCACCUUAAAAGCAAGUGUAACAUUUCUCCAGCAGUACUAAAGUCCUUCGCAAAUUUGAUGUUAUUAGCCUCGCAAAUGGCCUCCAAAAGGCAGUCAUGACCAUUUAAUCCAUACCUAUCUCAUAAUUUAAGAAUCAUAAUUGAAAUAAAAGUAAGAUGACCAUACCCAUUAA
rnacentral:sRNA from 1 species